AACGGCCGUACCAUGCUGAAUAUACCGGUUCUCGUUAGAUCACCGAAGUCAAGCAUCAUUGGGCGCGGCCAGUACUUGGGUGGGUGACCACCUGGGAACACUGCGUGCCGUU
rnacentral:rRNA from 1 species